GGCUUGAUGGCUUAGAGGUAACACACUCCAUAUUGUUCGCCCCAGUGUUUGACCAUUUUGGAGAGACCCGGAGUUCGAUCCUCCGUCGAGCCA